AUCGAACGCUGGCGGCAGGCCUAACACAUGCAAGUCGAACGAGUGGCGGACGGGUGAGUAAUGUCUGGGAAACUGCCUGAUGGAAGGGGAUAACUACUGGAAAAGGUAGCCAAUACCGCAUACCAUCUGAAGUGCCCAGCUGGGAUUAGCUGGUAGGUGGGGUAACGGCGCACCUAGGCGAAGAUCCCUAGCUGGUUUGAGAGGAUGACCAGCCAACCUUUAACUGAUCCACUGUCCAGACUCCUCCGUGAGGCAGCAGUGGGGAAUAUUUCACAAUGGGCGCAAGCCUGAUGCAGCCAUGCCGCGUGUAGGAAGAAGGCCUUCGGGUUGUAAAGUACUUUCAGCGGGGAGGCGUUACCCGCAGAAGAAGCACCGGCUAACUCCGUGCCAGCAGCCGCGGUAAUAC
rnacentral:rRNA from 1 species